UCGCGGGAAUUCGAUUCAACAGAGUUUGAUCCUGCCUCAGAACGAACUCUGGCGGCAUGCCUAAUACAUGCAAGUCGAACGAGCCCUUCGGGGUUAGUGGCGCACGGGUGCGUAACGCGUGGGAAUCUGCCCUUGGGUUCGGAAUAACGUCUGGAAACGGACGCUAAUACCGGAUGAUGACGAAAGUCCAAAGAUUUAUCGCCCAGGGAUGAGCCCGCGUAGGAUUAGCUAGUUGGUGAGGUAAAGGCUCACCAAGGCGACGAUCCUUAGCUGGUCUGAGAGGAUGAUCAGCCACACUGGGACUGAGACACGGCCCAGACUCCUACGGGAGGCAGCAGUAGGGAAUAUUGGACAAUGGGGGCAACCCUGAUCCAGCAAUGCCGCGUGAGUGAUGAAGGCCUUAGGGUUGUAAAGCUCUUUUACCCGGGAAGAUAAUGACGGUACCUGGAUAAGAAGCCCCGGCUAACUUCGUGCCAGCAGCCGCGGUAAUACGAAGGGGGCUAGCGUUGUUCGGAAUUACUGGGCGUAAAGCGCACGUAGGCGGCAUUCCAAGUUGGAGGUGAAAUCCCCGGGCUUAACCUGNGAACUGCCUCCAAAACUGGAAAGCUCGAGUCCGAGAGAGGUGAGUGGAAUUCCAGUGUAGAGGUGAAAUUCG
rnacentral:rRNA from 1 species